rnacentral:lncRNA from 1 species
GUCUAACAGCCAAUGCCCUCUCUCCUCUCCUAGUAUGGCAUAGACACUGCCCACUAAUACUGUUUUGCAACAUUAUUAAUUUUAUCCAUGGGCUUGGGAAAACAGUGAUUAUGUAUCUUAAAAAGAACUGAAAUAAAUGAUCCUUGAUUUCUCUUCUGGGUUCCCUAAUUUCUCUUCCCUGGUUCUUUUCUGUGAUCUGUUCAGAAUCAUAGUAUUUGUGAUUCUGUGGUGUCACAAAGCAGUAAAUAUAGCUUAAUGGUAAAGACUUCCAGCACUGGAGCCAGACUGUCUGGGUCCAGAUCUUGACACUAACUUGCCAUGUCUCUAUGACUCUACCUUCUUUUUCUUUUUUAUUUAUUUAUUUUUUUGAGACUGAGUUUCGCUCCUGUUGCCCAGGGUGGAGUGCAAUGGCACGAUCUCGGCUCACUGCAACCUCUGCCUCCCGGGUUCAAGUGAUUCUCCUGCCUCAGCCUCCCAAGUAGCUGGGAUUACAGGCAUGCACCACCAUGCCCGGCUAAUUUUGUAUUUUUAGUAAAGACAGGGUUUCACCAUGUUGGUCAGGCUGGUCUCGAACUCCAGACCUCAAGUGAUCCAUCUGCCUCAGCCUCCCAAAGUGCUGGGAUUACAGGCAUGAGCCACUGCACCCAGCUGACUCUACUUUCUUUACCUCUAACAUGGGGAAAAUAAUAGUAUCUAUUUUCCAAAGUUGUCAUUAAGAUUAGGAGUGAAUACAUAUAAUGCAUUUGACAUAGUGCUAACCAUAUAGUAAGCACUGAAAUUUUACAUAUUUUGAGAAUGUACUUGCCCAUUUCCUUUGUAAUUUAUACUUUGCGUGUGUGGCUUUAAUGAACUCAAUGUAAGUAAUGACUUUUCAUGUUACAUAACAAUGUAGUGUUAUAACCCGGUUAAGUACUUAAUAUAUACAUGAUGCCAAUUUUAGCAGUAUUAUUUAUUACUAUUAUUGUAAUAAAUCACAAUACUGAAAUAAAAUUUCUUAAAAUCAAUGAGCAUAUAUUUUCUAGGCACAAAGAAAAGAAAUAUCUAUGGUUGAAAUCUUUUUCAACUGAAGCCAUGCCCUUCAGAGGGAGACAAUCUAUUGAUCACUUUCAGAGCCGUCCCCUGGGAAAAAAGAGACUAGAGAAAAAGAAGCCUUGGGGAUAUGCUUUGCAUGCAUUAGCAAAGUCCAAUGUGAGCUUUCUGCACAAUUGUGUUAGGGAUUCAUGUCCCAUCCUAUCAGGGAAGGAGGGAAACCAGAAGAGGCAGGAGAUAGAUCAGUCAAUUGUGUUACUGUAA